rnacentral:misc_RNA from 1 species
ACCCUACACAUUAGACCACCUAUUCUUAUACAAUGGGCCUAAGCCACCACUCUGGCUUUGAUUCCAAGACAUAUGAAUUGUUAAGCACUACGAUUCACUAAGGUUGCACCACGUGAGGAUAAGCCACCUAGAUAGAACUCACCCUUGGAAACUGGCUUGUAAGGGGAGGGUACCUAGGGACUUAUUAACCUCUAACCAAGGUUGUUCCUUAGUGAUUUGGGAUCGUAACAAUAUUGAUGCAAACCAAACGGAGAUUUGAACUAGAAAGGGAAG